rnacentral:lncRNA from 1 species
GGCGGACGCUGAGGGCGGGGUGAGCGGCUCGCAGCAGGAGCCGUGUCGCGGCGGCGGCUUUGUGGGGGGGGGGCCGCGGGCGGUGCUGCCUUGAGCCCCUCUGGGCCGGUCUCUCCCCUGAGCGGUGCCCAGGACUCCCUAUUUUUUUUCUCUGGAGGCUGCUGAGGGUGUGGAUGACAUGAAAAGAGCACGUUCCCCUGUUUGCAUCCUUUACUGGAGUAAGAAACUUUUUAGCAAGAAAAAAUUGAAAAGGAAACAGAAGACUAAAUUAAAAGUAAAAACACGCAACAAGCUGUUCUCUCAAGCACAAAAAGCUCCACCAUCCAAGACAGAAGAUGACAAACAUGUUUUAUUGUGUACUUCAAUCCAAGAAGGUAGACUUUUGAUUUGUGGUGAUAUGAAGUGAAAUAACAAAGAUAAAGAUUUCAGAAUGUCACAGAAUCACAGAAUUGCUGAGGUUGGAAGGGACCUCUGGAGAUCAUCUAGUCCAACCCCCCUGCUCAAGCAGGGUCACCUAGAGCACAUUGCACAGGAUCGCAUCCAGGCAGGUUUU